rnacentral:rRNA from 1 species
AUUGAACGCUGGCGGCAUGCCUUACACAUGCAAGUCGAACGGCAGCACGGGUGCUUGCCCCUGGUGGCGAGUGGCGAACGGGUGAGUAAUACAUCGGAACAUGUCCUGUAGUGGGGGAUAGCCCGGCGAAAGCCGGAUUAAUACCGCAUACGAUCUACGGAUGAAAGCGGGGGACCUUCGGGCCUCGCGCUAUAGGGUUGGCCGAUGGCUGAUUAGCUAGUUGGUGGGGUAAAGGCCUACCAAGGCGGCGAUCAGUAGCUGGUCUGAGAGGACGACCAGCCACACUGGGACUGAGACACGGCCCAGACUCCUACGGGAGGCAGCAGUGGGGAAUUUUGGACAAUGGGCGAAAGCCUGAUCCAGCAAUGCCGCGUGUGUGAAGAAGGCCUUCGGGUUGUAAAGCACUUUUGUCCGGAAAGAAAUCCUUGGCCCUAAUACGGUCGGGGGAUGACGGUACCGGAAGAAUAAGCACCGGCUAACUACGUG